UAAUGGCUGACGUAUUUGGUUGCUUCCGUC
rnacentral:piRNA from 1 species